UCAAGGGGAAAUGGUGUCAAACAUAAGCUGUGUUUGUCCUAGACAUGUUCAUUUAGUCAGAAGAGGUCAACCAAAGGGUAUGAGAUGUCCAAAAGGUUUUCUCCUCAUACACUGGCCAAGAAUGUAUAAUAAAGAUAGAGAUAAGAUAAAGAAAGCAAAAAUAGGUGCAGUCUAAUCCUAGAUGGUCUGUGCUUAGGAAGAAUGAAAGCUUUAAUUGUUAAAAUACAGAGCCAGGUGAUGUUUCAUAUCACUGUGUGGUCAGAUUAUUAACAAUGGUGUUGUCAUGAGCAACAUCAUUAUUAUGUCUGAGCCAUGUGUAUGCAGGCUUCUUAGUGAUUCACAGUGAUAUCAUCAGUAUGGGCCGGGGGUACUGGCAGAGACAAAGACUGAACCCAACAGAGGUAGGGCCAAAGAAAGCUUGUUUUCGAGUCAACAUUAAUCUCUACAGGAUCUAAACUGAGGAAAGCCCAGACUGUGUCCAUGACGGAACCCAAGCAAACAAUUUUAAUGAAGGGGAAAAGAGGGAUGGAAGAUGAAGUCUGGUGCCUACUUCGAAGCAAUUUUGAGAUGUCAGAUAUCAUGUAGGCCAUCAACAUCAUUGGUCAGGAGGUCUGAGCUACCAGAGAUACAAGUUUGUAAGUUGUUGUGAUAUAAAUGGAAGUCAUUGUGAGAAGCAAUGAGCAAUCUCCCAGGCCAAGGAGGCUCCCACUCAGCCAAAGGUACUACUUCAGAGAAGGGGGCAGUGGAGAGCAAGUAGUAACCAGCAAUAGCUAGGGAAUUAAUACCCCAGUCAGUAAUACAGACCCAGGUGAGUACACCAAUAGUAUUCACUACACACAAAUUGUGAUUCCUGGAGAUUUGCCACAGAGGGGUGGGAGUAGAGGGAUCAUUUAUUUCUAAACUCUAAACCUGUAUCUUGGCCAUACAAGAAAUAACAGAGGAUAGUUUAUGAUGGUAUCUUCUGCUUAGCAAUAGGUAUCUGGGCCAAUUUUCAUCAGACUUGUUUCUGAAACAACCUGUCCCCACUCAAUCCCUCACUCUAGGCUCUUUUCUUGACUCUUAAUACCUCUUACCACUCAUAUCCAGCUGUAAAGCCACUAUGUACUCCACAGUCUGGCAAAAUAUCCCAUUUCCUCCCCAAAGUACAAAAUAUAUCUGUCAUCUUCAGCCUAAUUUAUCCUCUUCUUUCAUGGCAGUUAAUUCCUGUCACAGUCCAACAUUUAAUUACUGGUGGUGUUUGCUUUCAAGAUCUAUUGUUCUAUCUUCAUAAAUAGGCUGUGAGUUUGUCUCAGGUUGGGAUUCCCCAAAGGCAGAACCUCAGAUGAGGUUUUGAGUAUUAAGGAUGCGAUUCCAGGGAGCACUGACAAAGGAAUGAAGAAGUGAGAUAGGGACUAGUAGGCAGGAAGUUUGAGGCACAUUACUGAGGUGAACCACUGCCAGCAACUAGAACGUGAUUCCACUGAGGACCUCUGGGAGAAUCUGCAGAGCACACGUCAGAAUUGUUCCACCCUAGGGGUGAGGAAAUGGGACAUUUAUCCUCCAACUUUUGUCAAUCAUUGAGGGGUGCCUGGUGUGAAGCAGCUAACUCCCUGGUACUUCUGGGAAUGUACAGACCAAGUAUGUUCUGUCUACCAGAGAGUGCUCUCCAGCCAAAAGAGGUAGCUGAUUACAGUCAGAGGCCUUCAGAUAAUAUGUCAGCUGUGAGUGCCAAGGAGAUAUGGGUGGGACACUGACCCAACUCAGCUUCUGAUGAUAAGAAUCAUAUAUGUAUCCAAAUCCACCAUUCCAGUUUACAGGGGACAUGCAGUAACAUCUUUAUUGGUUUGACUGAUCUGUUGUUUGCUAAUGACUAAGAAGUGGUGUAAAUGGGGUUGUUAAACACAUAUUUAUAUUAGAGGUCUUAUAAAAUCUGAGGAGAGCCUAACGCAAUAAGUCAUCAGGUAUUCCUAAAACUAAAUUUUAUCAAGAUUUAAUACCACUGUAUUUGUGCUAUACUAACUGAUAAAAGUUGUGGAUACCAGGUGCUAUGAAGAAGUUUCCCAAAUUUGAUGGGUCUGUGUUUUGUUUUGUUUUGUUUAUUGGAAAGAGGUCUAUUAGAAAUCUAUACAGCUUAGAACACCCACCACAAAGGCAGAUUCCUAAGUUUAACCUUUAGCUGCCAUGUCAUAAACUCCCAGUUCUCAUAUUCUUUCUUUAUGACACUUAAUGCAAUCUUCUGUCUAUAAUGUUUGCCACUUUCCUGUAAAGUUAGGUUGGCUCUAAGAGAAGAUGUAAUGCAGGGCUUCUAUCCUCUAUGUAUCACUAUCAAGUGUCCCUAUUUUAUAAUAGGAAAUCUCACAGUUCAAGUUCAGUAUGCAACCUUGCCUCUUGAAUACUAUAUUGCUCACUCCUUCAUGCAUUCAACAAAUGUGUUUCAAGUGCUUGCUGUAUGACAGGCAGCUCCAGAUGCCUGAGUUACAUCAUUGAAUAAGCAACUCUCUGCCUUCAGUGGGCUUCCACUCUAGGUAGGGAAAUGAUGACAUCCAAUAAAGAAAAUAAGUGAAAAACUAAUAUAAUACAUUAGAAGGUAUUAUACUAUCAAAAAAGAAAAAAAAAUUAGGGCCGGACAAGGCCGGGUAAAGAAUGUAAAGGGAAGAAGGCUAGGAUGAGUGAUAAUCUUAAAUAGGAUGGUCAUUCUAAGGGAACUUUAAGAGGGUAAUACCUUUAAAAAGUGAAGGAAAAGGGUGCAUGGGUGGCUCAGUCAGUUAAGCGUCCGACUUCAGCUCAG